UCGAGAAUAUUUAGCAAUGGACGAAAGUCUGACUAUGCGACGCCGCGUGCAGGAUGAAGGUCUUCGGAUUGUAAACUGCUUUUGUUAGGGGAGAAACCUGAAACGUUAACAGCGUUUCAGCUGACGGUACCUGACGAAUAAGCCACGGCUAACCCUGUGCCAGCAGCCGCGGUAAUACAGGGGUGGCAAGCGUUACUCGGAAUUAUUGGGUGUAAAGGGCAGGUAGGUGGUCUUGUAAGUGAGGGGUGAAAUCCCACGGCUCAAUCGUGGAACUGCCUUUCAAACUGCAGGACUUGAGAGUGUUAGGGGAGAAUGGAAUUCCCGGUGUAAGGGUGAAAUCUGUAGAUAUCGGGAAGAACACCAACAGCGAAGGCAAUUCUCUGGGACACUUCUGACGCUGAACUGCGAAAGCUAGGGGAGCAAACAGA
rnacentral:rRNA from 1 species